UAUGCAACUCUAGGCUUCGGAGCUUAGCAUAUUUCAUUCUGUUGCAAGUUGAAAUGUGUAGGUAUAUCUCCUUGGCCCAACUCAAAAGGUAGAUGUUUUCUGCCUUCUGCGAGUACAGACACUUGGCAGCCAGCUUUCUCUGAACGUUCGUCUGGAAAAGAAUCUCCGCUUGUUGCUGCAGACGUCAUACACGGUACGCUUGCAUGAUGGACGCCUCCGAGCCGGCCUAGAGAGAUUGUCGCGGGGGCUGUGGGGCCGCAGGGAGUUUAGGUGCCCGGCUCAGGUGCCACGAGGCUAUUCAGCCAGGUGCGAACCGACUGGCCUCUCCUCCGGCCCUGCGCCGCGGGCGCCCCCUGGAGGCGGUCGGGGGAGCGGGGAUCGGCGCGCCUCCCGCAGCCCAGGGGUCCCCGCCCCUCUUCUUUUCGGUGCCCCUCAGGAUCCCGCAGAGAUUCCCAGCAGCCUCUCAAAUCGCAAUAAAGUUUCCCUACUUCAAA